rnacentral:rRNA from 1 species
GAUCUUUAUUUUUAUAAAUUAUAAAUAAUAAAGAAUUAAAAUUUUUAUAUUUUUAAUAAAAUUUUGUUGGGGUGAUAUUAAAAUUUAAUUAACUUUUAUUUUAUUUUAACAUUGAUUUAUGAAAAAUUGAUCCUUUAUUAUAGAUUUUAAAAUUAAGUUACCUUAGGGAUAACAGCGUAAUUUUUUUAAAGAGUUCUUAUCGAUAAAAAAGAUUGC